GACGAACCGAGCGAACGUUAUUCGGAAUCACUGGGCUUAAAGGGUGCGUAGGCGGGCUGUCAAGUCUGGGGUGAAAUCCCACGGCUCAACCGUGGAACUGCCUUAGAUACUGAUGACCUCGAGGAAGGUAGGGGCAUGCGGAACUGUAGGUGGAGCGGUGAAAUGCGUUGAUAUCUACAGGAACUCCGGUGGCGAAAGCGGCGUGCUGGACCUUUUCUGACGCUGAGGCACGAAAGCUAGGGGAGCAAACGGG
rnacentral:rRNA from 1 species